rnacentral:rRNA from 1 species
AUUGAACGCUGGCGGCAUGCUUUACACAUGCAAGUCGAACGGUAACAGGGUGCUUGCACCGCUGACGAGUGGCGAACGGGUGAGUAAUGCGUCGGAACGUGCCGAGUAGUGGGGGACAACGCAGCGAAAGUUGUGCUAAUACCGCAUACGUACUGAGGUAGAAAGUGGGGGACCUUCGGGCCUCACGCUAUUCGAGCGGCCGACGUCUGAUUAGCUAGUAGGUGAGGUAAAGGCUCACCUAGGCGACGAUCAGUAGCGGGUCUGAGAGGAUGAUGCGCCAGACUGGGACCGCGACACGGGCCAGACUCCAACGGGAGGCAGGAGUGGGGAAUUUUGGACAAUGGGCGAAAGCCUGAUCCAGCCAUGCCGCGUGUCUGAAGAAGGCCUUCGGGUUGUAAAGGACUUUUGUCAGGGAGGAAAUCCCUAGUGCUAAUAACACUGGGGAAUGACAGUACCUGAAGAAUAAGCACCGGCUAACUACGUGCCAGCAGCCGCCGUAA